AUGGAUAUGGAACAUGAAAUACCAAAAAAAUUAGGUGUACUUGCUACUCAUGGAGAUGGGGUAACUCCUAAAACCCCCGAUUCUCAUUAUGUGAAAGAUAUUAUGUACUACUUUGAUAAUCCUGAGAAAACCCCAUUCAACUUUAUAAUGGGAGACACGUUGAAUCAACGUGAAUACUUUAGGGAUUAUCGCUUGACACAAAAAGGGAACCUAUUACGGGAUCAAUUUAUUAUGUUGCGUUGGUAUGCCCGAGAUCUAUGCUUGAGAUAUCAUAUUACUUGUUGCUCUAGGAUGAAGGCUCCACACCUUCCAUUUUCAUGCAAAUUUAAUGAUAAUGAAACCUUAGCUUCUUAUGCUAAUGGUAUAUAUGAUUACUAUGAUGUGGAACAAAUAGAAGAAUUUGUUGCUUUUAAGGCUGCUUAUGAAAUUGAAUCUUUGUUUGAAAAGCAUGAAGCUUUUGAUGAUGAUGUUUAUAGGCCUGAAAAUCUUGCUAUACUUAGAUAUUGCUAUGAAAAUUAUGAAUACAAUUACUACAUUAAUGCAUUUAUUGAGAAAGUCUCUGCUGUCCAAGAAGAGACUAAUAUUUUGCAGGAAGCUAUGGAAGAAGAAAUUGAUGAAACUAUGAGCUCAUUGGAUGAAAAAGAUGAUGAGGAGAGCGAAGAACAAAAGGAGGAAGAGCGGAUUGAUCACCCGUGCCCACCUUCUAAUGAGAGUAACUCUUCAACUCAUACAUUGUUUAAUUCCCCUUUGUGCUUACCGAAGGAUGAUUGCUAUGAUGAUUGUUAUGAUCCCUUUAAUUCAUAUGAAAUAUCCCUUUUUGAUGAUGCUUGCUAUGCUUGUGGCCAAGAUGCCAAUAUGAAUUAUGCUUAUGGAGAUGAACUUGCUAUAGUUCCUUAUGUUAAACAUGAUAUUGUUGCUAUUGCACCCACGCAUGAUAAUCCUAUUGUCUUUUUGAAUUCUCCCAACUACACUAUAUCGGAGAAGUUUGUGCUUAUUAAGGAUUAUAUUGAUAGGUUGCCUUUUACCGUUGCACAUGAUGAUUUUGAUAGAUAUAAUAUGCAUGUGCUUGCUGCUCCUACUUGCAAUUAUUAUGAGAGAGGAACUACAUCUCUGCCUCUUUAUGUUUCCAACACGAUGAAAUUGCAAGAAACUGCUCAUACUAUGCAUUGGCCUUUACUUGGUGUGCAUGAAUUGUUCUUUUAUGACAUGCCGAUGCAUAGGAAGAGAGUUAGACUUCUUUGUUGCUUGAUGUAUGUUACUAUGUGCUCACUAAUAAAUUACAUUGUUAAUUAA
rnacentral:rRNA from 1 species